rfam:TPA: Bos taurus chromosome 21, whole genome shotgun sequence.
UCCCUGGUGGCUUAGAUGGUAAAGAAUCUGCCUGCAAUGCAGGAGACCUGGGUUUGAUCCCUAGGUUAGGAA